AUUGAGCGCUGGCGGAAUGCUUUACACAUGCAAGUCGAACGGUAGAGGGGCAACCCUUGAGAGUGGCGAACGGGUGAGUAAUACAUCGGAACGUGCCCAGUCGUGGAGGAUAACGUAGCGAAAGUUACGCUAAUACCGCAUACGAUCUGCGGAUGAAAGCGGGGGACCGAAAGGCCUCGCGCGAUUGGAGCGGCCGAUGUCAGAUUAGGUAGUUGGUGGGGUAAAGGCCCACCAAGCCGACGAUCUGUAGCUGGUCUGAGAGGACGACCAGCCACACUGGGACUGAGACACGGCCCAGACUCCUACGGGAGGCAGCAGUGGGGAAUUUUGGACAAUGGGCGCAAGCCUGAUCCAGCCAUUCCGCGUGCAGGAUGAAGGCCUUCGGGUUGUAAACUGCUUUUGUACAGAACGAAAAGCUCUGGGUUAAUACCCUGGGGUCAUGACGGUACUGUAAGAAUAAGCACCGGCUAACUACGUGCCAGCCGCCGCCGUAA
rnacentral:rRNA from 1 species